AUUGAACGCUGGCGGCAUGCCUAACACCUGCAAGUCGAGCGAGCGGCGGACGGGUGAGUAAUGUCUGUGAAACUGCCUGAUGGAUGGGGAUAACUACUGGAAACGGUAGCUAACACCGCAUACCAUCAGAUGUGCCCAGAUGGGAUUAGCUAGUAGGUGGGGUAACGGCGCACAUAGGCGACGAUCCCUAGCUGGUCUGAGCGGAUGACCAGCAAAACUGGAACUGCGACACGGUCCAGACGACGACGGGAGGCAGCAGUGAGGAAUAUUGCACAAUGGGCGCAAGCCUGAUGCAGCAAUGCCGCGUGUGUGAAGAAGGCCUUCGGGUUGUAAGGCACUUUCAGCGGGGAGGCGUUACCCGCAGAAGAAGCACCGGCUAACUCCGUGCCAGCCGCCGCGGUAAUUC
rnacentral:rRNA from 1 species